rnacentral:rRNA from 1 species
CGCGAAGAACCUUACCUGGUCUUGACAUCCACAGAACUUUCCAGAGAUGGAUUGGUGCCUUCGGGAACUGUGAGACAGGCGCUGCAUGGCUGUCGUCAGCUCGUGUUGUGAAAUGUUGGGUUAAGUCCCGCAACGAGCGCAACCCUUAUCCUUUGUUGCCAGCGGUCCGGCCGGGAACUCAAAGGAGACUGCCAGUGAUAAACUGGAGGAAGGUGGGGAUGACGUCAAGUCAUCAUGGCCCUUACGACCAGGGCUACACACGUGCUACAAUGGCGCAUACAAAGAGAAGCGACCUCGCGAGAGCAAGCGGACCUCAUAAAGUGCGUCGUAGUCCGGAUUGGAGUCUGCAACUCGACUCCAUGAAGUCGGAAUCGCUAGUAAUCGUGGAUCAGAAUGCCACGGUGAAUACGUUCCCGGGUCUUGUACACACC